GAUAUCAAGACUCCAACCUUUGGGUUGAGCUAGCCAAAAUGUUACUUAAAAUGAAUAAAUUUAAAGCAAUUUAAAUCCUUGUCUCUUCCAGGACUCAGGAAACAGCUGUCCUCCUGAACAGAUGCUCCAAACCGCAAGUCAUGUGCCAGGCCUCAUUUGUGGCAGCUUCUUACCAGAAGGCCCCUCAGAGUAGGGGCACAGAGCCCUGGGGAUGGUGACACAGGGAGAGGCCCUUGAGGAGGAGGACCGGUGCUCUCUAGAUGGAAAGGCAGCCUCGUGUCACCAGGAUAAAGCUACCUACAGUCAACUGUGGUUGAAAAUAUCUCUUGCUUGUAAAGAUGGCUACAGGAACAAGGCUGACAAAACCAAGUAGCUGAGCCCCAGACCCAGGCGAGAGCACCCUGGAGGAGCUGAUUGGAAUGCACUCAAGGCUGGUGUCUUCUCCAGACAGAGUGGCCCGAGUGGCCCAACCACUUGCUUGUAAAGACGGCUACAGGAACAAAGCUGACAAAAGCAAGUAGCUGAGCUGCAGAACCAGUUUGGGACGGAUUUCUCAGCUCAUUGUUUCUUAAGGAAAUGGCCAGGAAAGGCCACGCAUCAGCUUUGCAGAGUAAAAAUAAUGAAUGAGCAUUGGAAACCAGUAAGAAGCAGCGUUACCCUCUGUCCCACCGAGAACACGUGUUUGCCUUGCGCCUCAUUUCCCACAACUAGAAGCUCCCAGCUGAAUAAUCAUAUCCAAACAUGCUGAGCUAAUUGAAGAAAGGUGCUAUAUAAACACAAGGUACUGUUAUUAUGGUCAUUUUCCCAGACCUUGGGCUCCCCCACCCACUUCCUCUACUUUUACAAUGACCUGGAAAGCAGAGCCUCCUCAUAGCGGAUGCAGAUUGCUAGCAACGCCUUUGGCGCCCCCAAGUGGUUUCCUCUGUAAAAAUCACCUGAAGCAAAGAGUUUAGGAUUCUGUCAAAACAUAUUUAUUCUCUAGAACAUGCUAGGUUAGACACAACAAAAAACAUGUGGGUAAAUACUUCUUAAACAAAUUUAUUUCCAUGUGGAAUAACACCAGGCAUUUCCCACUAUUAUUAAAAUAUAACAUUAGCUUCUCUUCUAAAUGUGAAAGACACAAUAAAUAUUUUUCUUUAUAACCUGAUCACUCAACAAUAGGUGGUUAAGACAAAUCUUUUUAUCUCUAAAUAGAGGCUCUGUUAUAGAUGGAUGAGGGUAUGUGACAGCCAGCACUUUGUAAAAGUAUCCCGAAUCUGUAUCUCUUCGCAAAUCCACUGUUCUCUAACAGGGUGAGGUCUGAUAAGUGGUAUUUUCUACCUGACUCGAAAUUUUUAAUCCCUGAAAGGAAAACAGGUAACCAAUAAGUGAAUUUUAAGGUCAGCAAUUGGUUUUACUAGCUGAGAAUCUUUUGUCAAAGAAAUGUUCCAUAAAAGGUACCAACUUAAGCCAUGACAGUGGGUACACAUUAUGUUGGGCAGAGUGAGCUUUGACUAUUUAGUUUUCUUUUCAUUUUCCCCCAAAUCCCUGACACCUCUUUGGAGAAUCCUAGCAUUCCACAGAACAUGGUUCAAAACUUACUGUACUAACUAUUCCUGUUGUUUAUUUAACCUCCAACUAAAACACUUUAGACUGUUAUUUAUUAAUUUGCUUAUGGGUACCAAAAAUGUACCUUUUCUAUUACUCUGUAGUAAAACACUUCAGUCUUCAUUUCUCCACUUCAAUCCUCCGUCUAUUCCUAGGGGAAAGGAAGUAGAAAAGAUGAACUUUCACAGUUUCUGUCUUUCCUCAGACUUCUGAAACUUUUUGAAUUUAUAAGUAAUACUAUUUAUUAACCACACUGCUCAACGUGAUGCUGAAAUUUUGGCAGAACAAGAUGGCUGAUAAUCCAGUUGAUAAAAGACCUUUGAAAGGCAAAACACUAUGUCAUACUAUCACUGGAUGAUACUAAAAAUAUAUGGGUGCUCAAAUUUGCCUAAUGAUGAAUUUUUUAGAUGUUGAGAGGAAAAGGAGAACGGGUUUAGUAGAAGUCAAAGAACACAGAGUGGAAUGAUGUUCUUUGGUGAAGGAGCACCCACUCGCAUCACAAAGUUGAUUCAACUCUUAAACUGCCAUCGUUCCUCUUUUUGUUCCAUGCUCUGAGAGGCUCACGUGUUUUGUGGCUCAGGAAAGGAGUGAAGCGAAAGAGCAGGGAUCACGGUUUCCCCUCCGGGACUUCCGGUCAGCCGGUGUAGGAACUGGGGGGACCGGAAGUGGAGAUGCCAGUGCGCUCCUGAAAUCCGCCUCCGGAAACGGCUCCUCCAUUGAGAAAGAGACCGGUUCAUGUGAUGUUGUGGCGCAGACAUAGAAAGAACAUGAUAGCCUUAAAAUGGUUCACCAUGUCUGUUCCAAAGAAAAGAAAAAUAGGAUAUUCCCUAUUGUCAGAUACCUAGAGGUAUUUGAAAAGAACAAUACAAUAGCUAGAAAGGUCUUUGAAAAGAAUAACUCAAUCAUUUAUUCACAA